CUUUUAGCAGGGAAGAAGCCUUCGGGUGACGGUACCUGCAGAAAAAGCGCCGGCUAACUACGUGCCAGCAGCCGCGGUAAUACGUAGGGCGCAAGCGUUAUCCGGAAUUAUUGGGCGUAAAGAGCUCGUAGGCGGUUUGUCGCGUCUGCUGUGAAAACUGGAGGCUCAACCUCCAGCCUGCAGUGGGUACGGGCAGACUAGAGUGCGGUAGGGGAGAUUGGAAUUCCUGGUGUAGCGGUGGAAUGCGCAGAUAUCAGGAGGAACACCGAUGGCGAAGGCAGAUCUCUGGGCCGUUACUGACGCUGAGGAG
rnacentral:rRNA from 1 species